rnacentral:rRNA from 1 species
CCUACGGGAGGCAGCAGUGGGGAAUAUUGCGCAAUGGGCGAAAGCCUGCCGCAGCGACGCCGCGUGAGGGAUGAAGGUCUUCGGAUCGUAACCCUCUGUCAGCAGGGAAGAACGGUCACUGUGCUAAUCAGCAGUGAAUUGACGGUACCUGCAAAGGAAGCACCGGCUAACUCCGUGCCAGCAGCCGCGGUAAUACGGAGGGUGCGAGCGUUAAUCGGAAUUACUGGGCGUAAAGCGCUCGUAGGCGGUAUGUCAAGUCAAGGGUGAAAUCCCCGCGCUCAACGUGGGAACUGCCUUUGAAACUGGCAAACUGGAGUGUGUGAGAGGAUAGUGGAAUGCCAGGUGUAGGAGUGAAAUCCGUAGAUAUCAGGAGGAACAUCGGUGGCGUAAGCGCUUUACUGGGCCGUAAUUGACACUGAGGAACGAAAGCCGGGGUAGCAAAUGGGAUUAGAUACCCCAGUAGUC